rnacentral:lncRNA from 1 species
GCACAUAAAAGGGAUGGUGCGGCCGCAUAUGUGGCUCAAAGGAGCGCAAGGGGCCUCUGAUGAACGUAAUCAAUGUGUUGUGUAUUUGCUUGAAGAAACUAGCUAACGAGGAUAUGCAUAUGUAUGUGAGACCUGUUUAGUGGCUGAAUAUAUGACGUUCCACGUCUGCAAUAACCUUUGAUUACAACAGCGCAAAUAUAAGACCA